rnacentral:lncRNA from 1 species
AUGGGUGAUGUUGAGAAAACCAAGAUUUUUGUCUAGAAGUAUGCCCAGUGCCACACCGGGGGAAAGGGAGGCAAACACAAGACUGGGCCACAUCUCCAUGGUCUCUGGAUGGAGGACAGGUCAGGAGGCCUUUGGAUUCACUUACACAGACGCCAGUAAGAACAAAAGCAUCACCUGAAGACAGGAUACACUGAUGGAGUAUUUGGAGAAUCCCAAAAAGUUCAUCCCUGGAACGAAAAUGAUAGCCUAUCUCAAAAAAGCUACUAAUGGGCAUUAAUUAGUUGGCCACUGCCUUGUUUAUUACAAAACAGGAACAUCUCAU